rnacentral:rRNA from 1 species
GACGAACGCUGGCGGCGUGCUUAACACAUGCAAGUCGAACGGAAAGGCCCCUUUGGGGGUACUCGAGUGGCGAGCGGGUGAGUAACACGUGAGUAACCUGCCCUUGACUUCGGGAUAACUUCAGGAAACUGGGGCUAAUACCGGAUAGGAAUCCUUGCUGCAUGGUGGGGGUUGGAAAGCUUCGGCGGUUUUGGAUGGACUCGCGGCUUAUCAGCUUGUUGGUGGGGUAGUGGCUUACCAAGGCUUUGACGGGUAGCCGGCCUGAGAGGGCGACCGGCCACAUUGGGACUGAGAUACGGCCCAGACUCCUACGGGAGGCAGCAGUGGGGAAUAUUGCACAAUGGGCGGAAGCCUGAUGCAGCAACGCCGCGUGCGGGAUGACGGCCUUCGGGUUGUAAACCGCUUUCAGCAGGGGCGAAGCUUUUGUGACGGUACCUGCAGAAGAAGCACCGGCUAACUACGUG